rnacentral:rRNA from 1 species
GUAGUCUCGCACAGAUGCAUAUCAAUAAGCGGAGGAAAAGAAACUAACAAGGAUUCCCCUAGUAACGGCGAGUGAAGCGGGAAGAGCUCAAAUUUGAAAUCUUAAAGGGUUUCCCUUUACGAAUUGUAGUUUAAAGAAGUGUUUUCUGUUGAGGUUUUGGUAAAAGUUCUUUGGAAUAGGACAUCAUAGAGGGUGAGAAUCCCGUAUUUGACCUUUACUUUCAACUUUGUGAUACACUUUCAAAGAGUCGGAUUGUUUGGGAAUGCAGUCCAAAAUGGGUGGUAAAUUUCAUCUAAAGCUAAAUAUUGGCGAGAGACCGAUAGCGAACAAGUACCGUGAGGGAAAGAUGAAAAGAACUUUGAAAAGAGAGUUAAACAGUACGUGAAAUUGUCAAAAGGGAAGCGUUUGACACCAGUGUUGUUUUUCUGAAAAUCAAUUAAAGAACUGUUUAUGCUAAGUUGUUUAGACUUUAUCAGCUAACUGUUUAGUUUUGAGCUUUUCUUUAAUGCACUUUUCAGUUAACAAGUCAACAUCAAUUUCUAUUGCUGUAAAAAAGCUUGAGGAAGGUGGCUUGAGAUUCGUCUUAAGUGUUUAUAGCCUCUUGCCUAUGCAGUCGGAGAGAUUGAGGUCUGCAGCGUAGAUCCUUCGGGGCUAAAUGCAUUUGUGCUAAGUUAUAGCAUUUUAUAGACAACUUGUUGACUAUGAUUUGUCUUGUAGCUUACUCGCUUAUGUUAUUUUACCUACGCUUAGGAUGUUGAGUAGCGACAUACGCAC